rnacentral:rRNA from 1 species
UACGGAGGGUGCAAGCGUUAUCCGGAUUCACUGGGUUUAAAGGGUGCGUAGGUGGGUCUGUAAGUCUGUGGUGAAAUCUCUGAGCUUAACUCGGAAACUGCCAUGGAUACUAUAGAUCUUGAAUACCGUGGAGGAUAGCGGAAUAUGUCAUGUAGCGGUGAAAUGCUUAGAUAUGUCAUAGAACACCGAUUGCGAAGGCAGCUCGCUACACUAUUAUUGACGCUGAGGCACGAAAGCGUGGGGAUCAAACAGG